GAAUCUUGCAACUCCCUUUGUAGGUGAUAUUUUAAGAAAUACAUGGUCACCAACUUGAAAUUCUAAUUCUCGUCUUCUAUUAUCCGCAUAACUCUUUUGUGUACUUUGUGCAGUCCGAAGGCGACUCUGAUUAGCUGAAUUUUCUCAACUGUCUGUUGUACAAGUUUAGGGCCCAACAAUCUUCGUUCACCAAUAUCAUCCCAACAAAUUGGCGAACGACAUUUUCUUCCAUAUAAAGCUUCAUAAGGUGCCAUCUGUAUGCUACUCUGAUAACUAUUGUUAUAUGCAAAUUCUAUCAGAGGUAGAUGCUCAUCCCAAGAACCCUUCAUAUCUAUGACGCAAGCUCU
rnacentral:lncRNA from 1 species